rnacentral:siRNA from 1 species
UCAUCAUUAUUUGGAGUGUCUU